GAUGAACGCUAGCGGCAGGCUUAAUACAUGCAAGUCGAGGGGCAGCAUGAUUGUAGCAAUACAAUUGAUGGCGACCGGCAAACGGGUGCGGAACACGUACACAACCUUCCAACAAGUGGGGGAUAGCCCAGAGAAAUUUGGAUUAAUACCCCGUAACAUAGCGAUGUGGCAUCACAUUGCUAUUAUAGAUUUUUCGCUUGUUGAUGGGUGUGCGGCUGAUUAGAUAGUUGGCGGGGUAACGGCCCACCAAGUCUACGAUCAGUAGCUGAUGUGAGAGCAUGAUCAGCCACACGGGCACUGAGACACGGGCCCGACUCCUACGGGAGGCAGCAGUGGGGAAUAUUGGACAAUGGGCGAAAGCCUGAUCCAGGCAUGCCGCGUGUGUGAAGAAGGUCUUCGGAUUGUAAAGCACUUUAAGUUGGGAGGAAGGGUCGUUACCUAAUACGUGACGAUUUUGACGUUACCGACAGAAUAAGCACCGGCUAACUCUGUGCCAGCCGCCGCAGUAACAC
rnacentral:rRNA from 1 species